UGAACCUCCACGGGGUUGCCCCCACUAGCACCUGAAGCUAGCGUGUCUACCAAUUUCACCACCUCGGCAGGUGAUUUGCAG
rnacentral:tRNA from 1 species